CAGGCUUGGAAGGAGUCUCCACGUGGCAAAGGACCCAAGUCACACUGACCAGUUGGUAUAGGACAGAGAGCAAAGCAACUGUGACAUAAGAACAAAAUCCACCAUGGGGAAAAGAAGCCAGCCCUCUCAUUUUAUUAUUUAUUCAUAGGUGACAACGUGCCCAAAAACACAUCCCCCUUGCUGUGGCCCAAUCUUGUCAGCUUUUUCCUUCACCUCUCUACACAUCCCAAAUCAUUUGAGAAAUACACGAGAGUUCCUGCUCUCAUCUUAAGGAGCCAGUCAGAGCUCCACCCAGAAAUGAGUAGGAGCCCCCCACUCCAGGGGAACCACCAUGUGAUGGCACUUGGGGUACUUGCCCUGGCCCAAGGAAUCUCUCCCUCCCCACCUCAGCUUGUCACCGUGUCUGAAAUGUCACCAUUAAACAUUCAGUACCUUG